rnacentral:tRNA from 1 species
GAGGGUAUAGCUCAGUGGUAGAGUGUGUGCUUAGGGUGCGUGAGGUCAUGGGUUCAAUCCCAAGUACCUCCA